rnacentral:rRNA from 1 species
UACGUAGGGCGCAAGCGUUGUCCGGAAUUAUUGGGCGUAAAGAGCUCGUAGGCGGCCUGUUGCGUCCGCUGUGAAAUCCCGGGGCUCAACCCCGGGCCUGCAGUGGAUACGGGCUGGCUAGAGGCAGGCAGGGGAGAACGGAAUUCCUGGUGUAGCGGUGAAAUGCGCAGAUAUCAGGAGGAACACCGAUGGCGAAGGCAGGUCUCUGGGCUGACACUGACGCUCAUGCACGAAAGCGUGGGGAGCAGACAGG